rnacentral:rRNA from 1 species
GUAGGGUCCAAGCGUUAAUCGGAAUUACUGGGCGUAAAGCGUGCGUAGGCGGUCUCGCAAGUCCGAUGUGAAAUCCCCGGGCUUAACCUGGGAACUGCGUUGGAAACUAUGAGGCUCGAGUGCGGCAGAGGGGGGUGGAAUUCCAGGUGUAGCAGUGAAAUGCGUAGAGAUCUGGAGGAACACCGAUGGCGAAGGCAGCCCCCUGGGCUAGCACUGACGCUCAUACACGAAAGCGUGGGGAGCAAACAGGAUUAGAUACCCUGGUAGUCCACGCCCUAAACUAUGGCAACUAGUUGUUGGAGGGAUGAACUCCUUUAGUAACGCAGCUAACGCGUGAAGUUGCCCGCCUGGGGAGUACGGUCGCAAGAUU